rnacentral:rRNA from 1 species
GAUGAACGCUGGCGGCGUGCCUAAUACAUGCAAGUCGAGCGAACAGACGAGGAGCUUGCACCUCUGACGUUAGCGGCGGACGGGUGAGUAACACGUGGAUAACCUACCUAUAAGACUGGGAUAACUUCGGGAAACCGGAGCUAAUACCGGAUAAUAUAUUGAACCGCAUGGUUCAAUAGUGAAAGACGGUUUUGCUGUCACUUAUAGAUGGAUCCGCGCCGCAUUAGCUAGUUGGUAAGGUAACGGCUUACCAAGGCAACGAUGCGUAGCCGACCUGAGAGGGUGAUCGGCCACACUGGAACUGAGACACGGUCCAGACUCCUACGGGAGGCAGCAGUAGGGAAUCUUCCGCAAUGGGCGAAAGCCUGACGGAGCAACGCCGCGUGAGUGAUGAAGGUCCUCGGAUCGUAAAACUCUGUUAUUAGGGAAGAACAAAUGUGUAAGUAACUAUGCACGUCUUGACGGUACCUAAUCAGAAAGCCACGGCUAACUACGUG